CGGGGCGUGGCUCAGUUUGGUAGAGCGCUUGGUUCGGGACCAAGAGGUCGACAGUUCAAGUCUGUCCGCCCCGACCA
rnacentral:tRNA from 1 species